rnacentral:lncRNA from 1 species
GCUUUGUAAAUCACAGUUACAGCUUCCCACCAAACCUGACUUCUACUUUAUUUCAGAGACCUGCCAAAGGAAACCCUUGCACCUGUCAAUGACUUGUGAAGAGCCAUUCCUCAUUUCGGAGACCCCUGCCAGGAAUGGGAGAUUUACCCAUUUACCCAAGAGUAUCUAAGUUCCUCACACAAUCAGAAAAUGCCCCAAGCCCCUUCUGCAAUUGAUGUCCCCCCCGAGGAUGAUGUGUCACUACUUGAAGACUGAUCUCAGGAAGGACAAAUCAAUUCUGCAGUGAGUCCUGGUACUCCUUCUAACAAUCAGCAUUCCUGGUUCCCAGGGCUCUUCAAGGCCUAAAAAAAAGACCUAAAAACCUAAAAACCGAAUAUGCAUAUUCCCUGCAGUAUUUUCACUGCCUCAAGACAGACAAAAGGAUCUUGAAAAGUUCCUGCAUCCAUUCAGCAUGAGGGAUGUAGAUGGGGUACCACAUAUGGAUAAGCACAGGACACCAUUUAACCCAGUGCCUGCAAUGGUACCCAUCCAAGUCCUCUGCAGCACAAGGCCAUGAAUGUACUGCCAGAGGCAGGAGCCCAGGCACGGCAGGACUGGUCAGGCAGCUCCUGUCUCCUGUGCUCGGGGUGAUUCCUUUUCCAGUUCAGCUCUGUGCCGGGCCUUGCUCCUGCAGAUGUUGUGCCUGGUGCCACCUGAUGUGGGGCAGCUUUAAAGGAGGAGUCUCCUCUGAUGAGGACUGCAGAGCACUGCCACUCAUCCUACUUAGCACUUGGACAAAAUGUAGGACUGAACUCCAGAGAACAGGGUGGAGUUGGAAGUGGCAGUGGUGAAGAACUGCUCCGGGUCCUGUGGUGGCUGCAGAGGAAAGGAGAGCUGGCCCCAGGAGCAGAGGAGCUGUCCCCAGUGCUGAGCUGGCACAGAGGUGCUGCCUGCCUGCGGCCGGGAGCCGCUCCGUGGCAGCAGCUCAUUGAUCUUAGUCAUGUUAUUUCACUUUUUCUCUCCUUUCUCUUUCCCUUUUUACUGUUUGUUCUCCCCUUUCUUUCCCCUUUGUAAAAUAUUUCUUUGUUGCUGUGGGGUUUUUCCCUUCUCUCACCCUCACUGCUUUCCUGUCUUUUUUUAGUUUUUCUUUUUUCAGCUGCACAGCUGGGGCCACUCUGGCUGGUGCUGCUGCCAGGGAGCCGACUGCCCUAGGGGAUGUGCUCGUUCCUGAGUCUGGGGCCUGGGGCUCUCUGGCAUCAUAUUUAAUCGAAUAAAGGUUGUGUGGCAUUCCUAAGUUUGCUGGUC